AUUGAACGCUGGCGGCAGGCUUUACACAUGCAAGUCGAACGGUAACAGGGCGCUUGCACCGCUGACGAGUGGCGAACGGGUGAGUAAUGCGUCGGAACGUGCCGAGUAGUGGGGGAUAACGCAGCGAAAGUUGUGCUAAUACCGCAUACGUACUGAGGUAGAAAGUGGGGGACCUUCGGGCCUCACGCUAUUCGAGCGGCCGACGUCUGAUUAGCUAGUAGGUGAGGUAAAGGCUCACCUAGGCGACGAUCAGUAGCGGGUCUGGGAGGAUGAUCCGCCACACUGGGACUGAGACACGGCCCAGACUCCUACGGGAGGCAGCAGUGGGGAAUUUUGGACAAUGGGCGAAAGCCUGAUCCAGCCAUGCCGCGUGUCUGAAGAAGGCCUUCGGGUUGUAAAGGACUUUUGUCAGGGAGGAAAUCCCUAGCGUUAAUACCGCUGGGGGAUGACAGUACCUGAAGAAUAAGCACCGGCUAACUACGUGCCAGCCGCCGCGGUAACAC
rnacentral:rRNA from 1 species